rnacentral:rRNA from 1 species
CAAAAGCGUAUAUUAAAGUUGUUGCAGUUAAAAAGCUCGUAGUUGAACCUUGGGCUUGGCUGGCCGGUCCAUCUUUUUUGAUGCGUACUGGACCAGCCGAGCCUUUCCUUCUGGCUAGCCUUUUGGCGAACCAGGACUUUUACUUUGAAAAAAUUAGAGUGUUCAAAGCAGGCCUUUGCUCGAAUAUAUUAGCAUGGAAUAAUAGAAUAGGACGUUAUGGUUCUAUUUUGUUGGUUUCUAGGACCAUCGUAAUGAUUAAUAGGGACGGUCGGGGGUAUCAGUAUUCAGUUGUCAGAGGUGAAAUUCUUGGAUUUACUGAAGACUAACUACUGCGAAAGCAUUUACCAAGGACGUUUUCAUUAA